UACGAAGGGGGCUAGCGUUGUUCGGAAUUAUUGGGCGUAAAGCGCGUGUAGGCGGCUUUGCAAGUCGGGUGUGAAAUCCCUCAGCUCAACUGAGGAAGUGCGCCCGAAACUGCAGAGCUUGAAUAUCGGAGAGGAUGGCGGAAUUCCCCAAGUAGAGGUGAAAUUCGUAGAUAUGGGGAGGAACACCGGUGGCGAAGGCGGCCAUCUGGACGACUAUUGACGCUGAGACGCGAAAGCAUGGGGAGCAAACAGG
rnacentral:rRNA from 1 species